rnacentral:rRNA from 1 species
UCCCGUUGAUCCUGCGGGAGAUUGCUGCUAUGGGAGUUCGACUAAGCCAUGCAAGUCAGAGGGAUCUUCGGAUCACAGGCUGAAUGCUCAGUAACACGUCAAUAAUCUGACCUUGGAUCUGGCAUAACCUCGGGAAACUGGGGCUAAAACCGGAUAGAUAAGAAUCACUGGAAUGUUUUCUUAUUGAAAAGCAAUGUCCAAGGAUGAGUUGGCGGCUGAUUAGGCAGUUGGUAGUGUAAAGGACUACCAAACCUUUGAUCAGUACGGGCCGUGAGAGCGGUAGCCCGGAGAAGGGUACUGAGAUACUGACCCUAGCCCUACGGGGUGCAGCAGGCGCGAAAAUUUUACAAUGUACGCAAGUGCGAUAAAGGAACUCCCAGUGCUCAUGCUUAGCAUGGGCAUUUGUUAAGAGUAAAUAUCUUAGCGAAUAAGUGGUGGGUAAGACUGGUGCCAGCCGCCGCGGUAACACCAGCGCCACGAGUGGGGAUCGCGUUUAUUGGGCCUAAAGCGUUCGUAGCCGGAUAAAUAAGUCUUGAGUGAAAUCGUUGCGCUUAACAAAACGACGUGCUUGAGAUACUGUUCAUCUUGGGACCGGGAAGCGUUAGGGGUAUUCUUGAGGGAGCGGUAAAAUGCUAUAAUCUCAGGAGGACCAUCUGUGGCGAAGGCGCCUAACGAGAACGGGUCCGACGGUGAGGAACGAAAGCCGGGGGAGCGAAGCGGAUUAGAUACCCGUGUAGUCCUGGCCGUAAACGCUGCGAGCUAGAUGUUGCAUGUUCUACAUGAAUAUGCAGUAUCGAAAGGAAGCUGUUUAGCUCGCCGCCUGGGAAGUACGGUCGCAAGGCUGAAACUUAAAGGAAUUGGCGGGAGAGCACCACAAGGGGUGCGGCGUGCGGUUUAAUCUAACUUAACGCAGAGAAUCUCACCAGCAGCGCCGGCAGAAUGAAAGUCAGAUUAAAUGUUUUACUUGACGAGCCGAGAGGUAGUGCAUGGCCGUCGUCAGCUCGUGCCGUGAGGUGUCCUCUUAAGUGAGGUAACGAGCGAGACCCAUACCCAUAAUUGCUAGCAGGUCCUUUAGGAUGACUGAGCACGUUAUGGGGACUGCUGCGGAAACGCAGAGGAAGGUGUGGGCUACGGUAGGUCUGUAUGCUCCGAAUCUGCUGGGCUACACGCGCGCAACAAUGGCAAGGACAACAGGAUGCGACACCGAAAGGUGGAGCUAAACCUUUAAACCUUGUCUUAGUUUAGAUUGUGGAUUGUAAUUCAUCCUCAUGACACCGGAAUCCCUAGUAAUCGCAAGUCAUCAUCUUGCGGUGAAUAUGUCCCUGCUCUUUGCACACACCGCCCGUCAAACCAACCGAGCGGGGUUUGGAUGAGAUAUGGCUUCUAGCUAUCUCGAAUCUAAAUUUCGUGAGGCGGGUUAAGUCGUCACAAGGUA